GGAGACCUGGUAUAUGAAAGGAAUUUGAGUUGGUCAAUGUGUUUGAACUUGGAAGUGUGAAACACCAGCAAUGCUGUCUGAAGGCUGCCCCAAGGGCCUCAGGGGAAGGCCUUGAUGUGUUUGUGGGUAAAAGCCCUUUGGAGGUCUUUCCUUAUUUGACACGCCCGGUUUUCCCAUUGACUUGCUGUGUGGCCUUGGACGACUUACUUAGCCUCUCUGUUUCUGAGUGUUCUCACCUUGAAAACUGGGCGCUGACUGCCCUCCACUCUUUCCGAGGAUAUUGUGGGGACGAGUGAGAUCAUGUCUGCCAGAGGGCAAGAAGGAGCAAGAUCUCCCGGUGGUAAUGAACUCCUGGGAGCCGUGGCCAAGAGGAGACUGCAGACUAAACCUAGGACUCGUUCAGUCACGUUCAUCUUUAGGGCUCCCUCUACUCUGCCCUUCACCGACCCCGAGUCGGGCUCACUUUUGAAACUGGCAUUUGGCACAGGGCACAGGCGAGCUAUUGUUGCCUUGGGGGUGAGCCCCUCACCUGUUCUGCUUGCCUAGCCGCCCUUUCCACCCCUUCCCAUCCCCUAUUCUGCAGACUGGGUUCUGCGCCCAGGCUCCGUGGCGCCCAUCGCUGCCCUACCCAUGGAGCCUGGCAGGGGGAAGCCGCCAGUCCCAGGAGAACUGGAGCUGUGAGGGUCGAGUCAGUGUGAAGCGUAAAGCCUCGGAGAUGUCUUUGCUAGCUAGCGCCAAAGCGAGAAGAGCUCCCUGUCCCCAGCGCCCUCUCUAGCCUCUCUCCUGAGGGACGAUUCCGGUUCCACUCGGGCCCUGGGUGCUAGGAAGGGAGAGAACUAGAAAAGAACCAAGCGAGCGGGCGACCUGCGGCUCUGGCAAAGCAGGUGUGGGUUGUGCGCGCCUCAUUCCUGCAGUCCCGCGAGCUUGGAGCCGGACUAGCCCAGAGUCUGAGUGCUGCGGCUGCUAGCUUCGCGACUCCGAGUCCUGCGUCUGGGUUGCGUGUUCCAACCCCGAUGUGCUCGGCUAGUCGCCGCGCCGAGGGCAAACAAGCCACCGCCGAGACCGAAGGCAAGUAAGCCACUGCCUGUGGCCCGAACCGACUUGGGACUAGCAGCUGAGUAAAGCCGGGACGGAGCCCAAGGCCGCCCCGUCGGGCGGGUCCGAGGAAUUGGACUGGAGGGAGGGGACCCUGGGGACCGACAUCUUUUCCCUGAUCCUGGAGACUAGCUGAAGGCGAGAGGAGACCAGAGACCCUCACAGGGCUGGAGUGAGGUGAAGCCUUGGCCGCCCACUGCCAGAGAGAGAACACAAGCCGGGAAACUCUGGGCCGCCGAUAACCAAGAUUCCCUUAACUUUCGAAAGUUCCUUUCUUGGAUUGGAAGGAGAAGAAGGGGAAAAAAAAGAAUAAAGGAGACUAAUUGUUUCUAUUUUUCUCUGCCUGUCGUCGGGAUGCUGCCCUUGACUUCUUGGGCAAGACUGAGUCAAAAACCUAAUAAAUUGUAUUUAGAGCUAUUUGAAAUAAAUUAAAAAAAAACACACCUAAAUUGUUCAAAA